CUGCCCUCCAACAGCAAUGUUCUCACCAUCAAAUCUGUAGCUUCUGAGCACGGGGCCAGUACACCUGUGAAGUCAGUAACAAAGUCGGGAAUGUUACUGUGAUGUUUCAUGUGGAUGUUGAAGGUUUGGAGUUAACCUCAACCAAACUGCCACCAAUAACUACAACCUCAAUGACAACAACCACACCCAAACAGCAGCACCAGCAGCACACUGAUUCAUAGGUUCAUAAUGUGUUUUAUGCUUUUAUUCUCUGUUGUGGUUUGAGUUCAUACCCAGAGAAGAACAGCUGCAUGUAAUCUCUCUAAAGCUGUCAAGGUGUAUAACUCAUAUUUGAUGUACAUUCAGGCAAUUCUCCUAAUACACUUAGAUGAUAGCUUGUUGUAUAGGAGUGCUUACUUUUUACAAUGUAAUAAUGAUGUUUAACCACUAGGACAUUAUCUUGCAAGUGAGCUGUGUUUAAAUGUUUUUUGCUUUUCUGCAUUUUUAAACAGAAUAUACUGAUAAGUAAUAAUCGAUAA